rnacentral:rRNA from 1 species
GACGAACGCUGGCGGCGUGCUUAACACAUGCAAGUCGAGCGGUAAGGCCCUUUCGGGGGUACACGAGCGGCGAACGGGUGAGUAACACGUGGGUGACCUGCCCUUAGCUCUGGGAUAAGCCUGGGAAACUGGGUCUAAUACCGGAUAUGACCUCAUGACUCAUGUUGUGGGGUGGAAAGCCUUGUGCGGCUAGGGAUGGGCCCGCGGUCUAUCAGCUUGUUGGUGGGGUAAUUGCCUACCAAGACGACGACGGGUAGCCGGCCUGAGAGGGCGACCGGCCACACUGGGACUGAGACACGGCCCAGACUCCUACGGGAGGCAGCAGUGGGGAAUCUUGCGCAAUGGGCGAAAGCCUGACGCAGCGACGCCGCGUGAGGGAUGACGGCCUC